GAUGAACGCUGGCGGCGUGCCUAAUACAUGCAAGUCGAGCGAACGGACGAGAAGCUUUCUUCUCUGAUGUUAUCGGCGGACGGGUGAUUAACUCGGGGAUAACCUACCUAUACGACAGGGAUAACUUCAGGGAACCGUGUCUAAUACCGGAUAAUAUUUUGAACUUCAUUGUUCAAAAGUUGAAUACGGUAUUUCUUUGGCUUAUAGAUUAAUCCGCCCUGGAUUAAGUAGUUGGUAAAGUAACGGCUUACCAAGGCAACGAUGCAUAGCCGACCCCAAAGGGACAUCGGACACCCUGGAUGUGAGACACGGCCCCGACUCCUAGGGGAGGCAGCGGUCGAGACUCCUACGCAAUGGACGAGAGCCUGACGGAGCAAAGUGGCGUGAGUGAUGAUCGUCUUAGGAUGGUUAAACUCUGUAAUCAGUGGAGAACAUAUGUGCAAGUACCUGUGAAGAUAUUGACGGUACCUAAAGAGAAAGCUACGGCUAACUCCGUG
rnacentral:rRNA from 1 species